rnacentral:lncRNA from 1 species
ACUUAGAUAUGCAGCUGAAGGGGUUCCUGGGUUUAUUUCUCCUGAGAACUGGCAUGGGCUCUGAGUUUUGCCAUUCCUGGCUUCGGUCCUAGCAUUCUAAGCUGCCUGACCUUGGGCAUUUGUCAACCUGUCUGAACCUUAGUAUCCUUUCCUCUCUGUAGAGUGGGAAGAGAUGGAGUCUGUGAAGCGCCUGGUGCAAGCUGUACUAAUACACCUAACAAUGAGCUCCUCCCUCCCUGCCUCCUUGCCUCCCUGCCUCCCUCCCUCCCAUGGGGAGGCCAGAAUCUGGCUGCUUGCUGCCACCUAGUGGCUCUUUGGGGUCAUCUUCCCUCAUAGGAACCACAGAUCCAGUAGCCUAGAGCAGAAAGGGAAGGAAGAUUCAACCUAGGGGUGUUUAUGUUUACCGUGUGUCUGGCACUCGUGGAGAUAGUGCAUGGGACUACAUAAGUAAGACAGCAUCGAAGAGGUGUCUUGGAGUGUGGUUAGGAGCGAGGGCUCUGGAGUCAGACAAGCUACAGACUAGCUGAGUGACCUUGGGGCAAGUUAUUUCAUUUCACUGUGCCUCAGUUUCCCCAUCUGUAAAAUUUGUAUAACGAUAACCUACCUCGCGUAUCUACAGUGCCUAGCAUAGUGCCCCACAUAAAUGUGUUCACUAAAUGUACGUCGUUAUUAAUCAUAGGAGCUUGCAGUCUCACUAGGGCCGACUGGAAAACUAUUAAGUGAUCCUCAAAGCCACAGGCGCUCAGAGACUGGAGAGAUCAAGGUGCAGAAGACUCAGGGAAGGGUAGUCUUGAGGGCAGCUGCCCUUAAAGGGUGGGCAGCAUUUAGUGAAGCAGAUGGAGGGAAGUUGACCGGCAUCCCAGAUGUGGGGAAGAGGCCAGCAGCCUAGUCUCCUCCACGGCCCAGCCCCCACUGUCUUACCAAAGAACAGCUUUAACCAAACCCCUCUGGGCAUCAGGACCACCGCUACACCUCUUGCCAGGCUGCAGAGCUAUGCAGUCUGGAGGCCCAGCUCUCGUCAGAAGCUGGGGCAUGGGCUCUAGGGGAACCUGGGGUCGGAUGAGCCCCUGAGCAGGUGGCAGGUGCCUACAUGUCCCAGUGUGGGUUCGUGUUUGUGUAAGGCUCUCCUGCCCCCACCCCCAGGCACCAGCACAGCCUUUGCCUUCACUCUCUCCCCUCCCCUGUCCCUGGGGGAUUGAAUAAGGGAAGCUGGGGUUGGCCGUCCUUCUAGCUUGAUUGGCAGCACCAGCGCUGUGACGGAAGGAUGUGUUGUGCCAGCAGCCUCUUGGCCGCAGGACAAAUGCACAUUUAAAGAGAUAACCUUUUUGUGUCCUGGCUGGGAAAGAGGUCAGUGCAGAUGUUUUUGGGUCCAGGUGUUGGCUGUGAGUUUUCCUUUCCUCUAUGAACUGACCUCAGCAGCCUAGUGGACAGUCACCUCCUUACAGGUGUAAAAUCCAAGCCAGUCAACCAUAGCAGGUGGCAGACUUAGCUGCCUUCCCUGUGGUGUGGUGCAGACCAUGACCCUUGAGGCAAAUGGGUGAGCUGGCCCCACCUCGCCUGCAGCCUCCUCUGAGGCUCCCCUGCUGCCUCCCCACUAGCCGCCCUGAAUCACCUACUUCCCAGCACCCCCAGCCCGUGGUUCUCAUCCCGUCUUCCAUCUGUGAUCUGGCACUCAUUCUUCCAGAGCCAAAGAGGAAUCCCCUCUUCUCAUGCAGAAGACAGUCAUGCCUGCCCUUGUGUGUCAAAAGCAUUGCAUUUAUGCCCUGUUAGAACCCCUGUCACAAGCAUGGUGCCUGAACACAGGUGCCUCUGUGGUCUCUUCUCAUCCUCACCCAAUGGGUACUAUGCUAGCCCCAUUUUACAGAUGAGGCAAACGUGGCACGGAGAGCUCCACUAACUUGCCUGGAUGAUUCAUGCAUCCAUCCAUUCACUUAGCAAAUACUUAUUUAACUUCUGCUUUGUGCUAGCUAGUGGGGAUGUGGCAGUGGGGAUGUGGCAGUGGGGAUGUGGCAUGGGGAUGUGGCAGUGAGGAAGACGACAGACAGGCUCCUUGGGAAGCAGAGUAAGCAAGUGAGGAGACAGGCGGGCGUGGUGAGGCUGCGCAGGCGCUGAGAUCGAGUUGCUGGGGGAGGCCUCUCUGAGGUGGUGGGGCUUGAGUUGAUUCUGAAGGACAAGAAGAGCCAGCCCUGGGGGUCUGGGGGAAUGGUAUUCCAAGUGGAGGGAACAGCAGGUGCUGGGGGCAGGGAGGUGACAGAUGUGUCCCAGGUACAGAGAACAGAGUGAACAGGAGAGAGGAGGGGGCCAGGGCAUUCCAGGUGGGGAAAGGCAGCAGGUGGCCCGGUGGUACCACCUCUUUUGGCGAGGGCUUUGGACCUUACCCGGUGUGAUGGGAAGUCCUGGAAGUGUGUUAAGCAGGGGAGUCUUUUUGAUCAGAUUUUCUAGAAAACGACAGUGGGCUGCUGUGGACCUCAGAGAGGCAUGUGUGAUAGUGUGUUUCGGGCUCUUCCCACGAAACUCGGCUCUGCACAGUGAGACCUCAUUUCCUGGUUCUGUUUGAUGAGUGAGCGAAUGCACAUGGCAGGCGGUCAUGUCCCUUGGGCCUGUGAGGUGAGGAAGGGUCCCUGAGCCCUGUGGGGAUAGAGACUCUUCCACCAUUCUGACAUGAUCCGAGUUAGCAGGCAGCACUGUCCAGAUGGAAAUGGGGAUGGGAGACAGACCAUCUCUCUCAGCGGGUCCAGCCAUGAGCCAGCAGACUGUUUCCCAUUGGCCCCCAUCUUUCAGAGUGGGAUGAUCUUUCUAACAAAGAAACCCACACAGGAAUUUGGUGUGUGUGUGCGUGUGUGUAUUACCUUUCAGGAUGGAAGCCGGUGGGGUGUGGAGCGAGGGGCUGGCAUGGUUGGCCUCGCCCAGCUCCUGUACCCUGUGUGUGCCUAGAGCAUGCACCUGCUCCCUCUGCUGGGCUGAGACUCAGAGGACACUGGGCAGGUGGUGGGGGGUAGGAGGGUCGUGGCUGUGUUGGGUGGGGCCACAUCAGGUGUGUGGCACAGAGGGGGAGGGGGAGGGGGAGUGGCAGUGUGUUCCACCCAGCAGUCCCUGUGUUUGACCUCUUCGUACACUCUCUGUUGUAUUAGCUCUCAGAAUGAAAACGAGAUACUUUUCCCCAAUCUAUGUACGUUGUUCUUAAGAAUGUACACUUGGCCAGGUGCAGUGGCUCACGCCUGUAAUCCCAGCACUUUGGGAGGCCAAUGUGGGUGGAUCACCUGAGGUCAGGAGUUCAAGACCAGCCUGGCCAACAUGGCGAAACCCCAUCUCUACUAAAAAUACAAAAAUCACCUGGGUGUGGUGGUGGGCACCUGUAAUCCCAGCUACUAGGGAGACUGAGGCAGGAGAAUUGCUUGAACCCAGGAGGUGGAGGUUGCAGUGAGCCGAGACCGCGCCACUGCACUCCAGCCUGGGCAACAAGAACGAAACUCUGUCUCCCAAAG